rnacentral:rRNA from 1 species
UACGAAGGGUGCAAGCGUUGCUCGGAAUUAUUGGGCGUAAAGGGUAGGUAGGUGGUGACAUAAGUCUGGGGUGAAAUCCCUGAGCUCAACUCAGGACGUGCCUUGGAAACUGUAUCACUAGAGUACUAGAGAGGUUCGUGGAAUUCCAGGUGUAGCGGUGAAGUGCGUAGAGAUCUGGAGGAACAUCAGCGGCGAAGGCGGCGAACUGGAUAGUAACUGACACUGAACUACGAAAGCGUGGGGAGCAAACAGG